GACGAACGCUGGCGGCGUGCCUAAUACAUGCAAGUUGAGCGCUGAAGGUUGGUACUUGUACCAACUGGAUGAGCAGCGAACGGGUGAGUAACGCGUGGGUAAUCUGCCUUUGAGCGGGGGACAACAUUUGGAAACGAAUGCUAAUACCGCAUAAAAACUUUAAACACAAGUUUUAAGUUUGAAAGAUGCAAUUGCAUCACUCAAAGAUGAUCCCGCGUUGUAUUAGCUAGUUGGUGGGGUAAAGGCUCACCAAGGCGAGGAUACAUAGCCGACCUGAGAGGUGGAACGGCCACAUCGGGACUGAGACACGGCCCAAACUCCUACGGGAGGAAGCAGUAGGGAACCUUCGGCAGUGGACGAAAGUCUGACCGAGCAACGCCGCGUGAGCGAAGAAGGUUUUCGGAUCGUAAAACUCUGUUGGUAGAGAAGAACGUUGGUGAGAGUGGAAAGCUCAUCAAGUGACGGUAACUACACAGAAAGGGACGGCUAACUACGUG
rnacentral:rRNA from 1 species